rnacentral:rRNA from 1 species
GACAGAGGAUGCAAGCGUUAUCCGGAAUGAUUGGGCGUAAAGCGUCUGUAGGUGGCUUUUUAAGUCUGCCGUCAAAUCCCAGGGCUUAACCCUGGACAGGCGGUGGAAACUACCAAGCUGGAGUACGGUAGGGGCAAAGGGAAUUUCCGGUGGAGCGGUGAAAUGCGUAGAGAUCGGAAAGAACACCAACGGCGAAAGCACUCUGCUGGGGCCGACACUGACACUGAGAGACGAAAGCUAGGGGAGCGAAUGGGG